UACGUAGGCAGCAAGCGUUGUUCGGAAUUACUGGGCGUAAAGAGUGCGUAGGUGGUUGGCUAAGUUUGGUGUGAAAUCUCCCGCUUAACUGGGAGGGUGCGCCGAAAACUGGUUGACUAGAGUGUGGGAGAGGGACGUGGAAUUCCUGGUGUAGCGGUGAAAUGCGUAGAUAUCAGGAGGAACACCUGCGGUGUAGACGGCGUCCUGGACCAUGACUGACACUGAGGCACGAAAGCGUGGGGAGCAAACAGG
rnacentral:rRNA from 1 species